ACUUCAACCCUAAUCUAACUCUCCUUAUACAUUGAAACGUUGCCAUUGUGAGAGAAAGGUUGAAGUUCCGCUGUUGCGAUCUCUUCUGUCACGUUCUCCUUUGGAGACGUUCUCCUUUGGAGACAUUCUCCUCUAACAACGACCUUCUCUAGCGACGUUUCCUCCAGCGGCGAUUUUCUCUGGUGAUGAUCUCCUGCAACGAAGACCUCCUCUUGCGACGUCUCCUCCAGCGACGAUCUCCUCCUACGACGUCUCCUCUAACAGUGAUGAUCUCUUCUGGCGACGUCUCCUCCUGUGAUGUCUCUUCUAACAACAACGUCUCUUCCAGUGGCGUUCUCCUAUGCCGGCAAUCUUGUCCAUCGUGCUACUAUGUUGCGAGUUUCUCCUCCAGCAGACUUGUGAGUCUCAAAACUCCCACAGUUAACUGCACAGGAAAGUUCCAUCAUGCAUUCAAAUGCCUCAGCUUUCAAGCGAGGUUCAUCGUCGCCUGGGGGGGUAUAGUUCCUGCAUUUGGACUGCAUUAGCAAGGGUGUGGAAUAAGGUUGUUUCGCUGUUGUCAUUGCGAUUCAGGUAUGUAUGCACCAUUGCAUUAUUGAAUGCGUUGCUGUUGUAGUGAAGUUGUUAAACUUGGUGUUGUCUGUGAAAGUUGCGAUUUAUUUUCGGCUUUGUGGAGCUUGUAUUUAAUAAUGUUGUAAUGGAUUCCAUUAGUUUUCUAAAACUGCUAGGGUUUGGUUCAAACUUUUUUCUUUUUUCGUUUUGUACCUCAUAGACCUUUGAUUUUAGAGGAUGGGAAGCUUCAAUCUAACUAUCUAUCAUGGGAAUCGAUCUGGGUAUGAUAAUGGGACACUAUAGUAUAUAAGGGACAAAAGACACUUAUUGAAGAUGUUGAGAGUGAUUGUUGGUCUGUAUUUGAGGCAUAUGCAAAGUUAAGGCAAUUUGGGUACAAAAAUUCUAACAUAUUAGCUCUUUGGUAUAAGGAUCCAACAGCUGAAUGGUUAGAGAAAGCUCUAAAGUUAUUUGUUGUUGAUAGAGGUGCACUUGAGAUGUGUAGAAUAGCAGAAUUGAGGAGUCAUGUUGAGAUGUGCAUGAGGUUGCCGAUGCUGAAGGUGUUUCUAAAGUUGGGUAUAUUGAUGUUGGGGGCAGAAUAGAGGAAAAUCCUUGGAAUCAGUUGGUAGUUUAUGAAGGUCAACAAGGUGAACAGGUCCAAUUCGAUAAUUUGCAACAAAUUAAUGAAGGAGAUAAGGUGCACCCAAAUGUAGCUGCUGAAAAUACAUGAAAUGAAUUAAACAGUGAUGAUGACAGUGACGAUGAGGAGUUUCUUCUAUCUAAUUUUGAGGUUGACAGUGCAUAUGACAUUCAUUUUACAAAUAGUGAAAAGGAAUAUGAUUAUGAGAGUGGGUUUGAGGAACUAAGAGGUGUUAAGGAUGGUUUUCGGGUUGAUAAAGGCAAAGGAGUUGUGAAUGGUGAUUUCAAUGAUGAGGAAGGCUUCAAUAGUGAUGAAUUGAAUUCAGAGCAUGAGGUUGGUGGUGGUUAAGAUAAGGAAGAUGGAGAAGAGAAAGAUGACUAUGAAAGUAGGAGGUAUCCAAUUCAUAAGGAUGUAAAAGACAUGAGGAGCUAUAAGUGGGAGGUAGAAACUGUAUUUUCUUUAAGAGAGGAAUUUAAAGACACUGUAAUAGCCUAUGCAGUACAAUCAAGAAGGGGGAUCAGGGAUGGCAAGCUUGACUUGGUUAGAGUGAGGGUGGUUUGUCAACAGGAUUGCCCUUUUUGGUUAUAUAAUGUAAAAAUGGUGAGGAAACAACUUGGCAGCUUAGGUCUAUGAAUCUUAAGCAUACUUGUGACCAGACACAUAGGGUUGGAAUAUUGCAUACUCCGUGGCUGAGUAGAGCUUUUAAAAAGAAGAUGGAGCAAAACUCAAAAGUGAAGAAAAAGGAAUUGGUGAACAAGGCACAAAGGAUGUGGAAUCUGACUGUGACAACGUCAAUGGCAGCUAGGUCAAGACAAGUUGCAUUGGAUGAAAUACAAGGAACUCACAAGACUCAAUAUAAGAGGAUAGCUGAUUACUGCUCAAAGUUGCUAAGGGCUAACCCAGGGUCAACAGUGAAGCUCAAGGUACAGAGGUCCCCUGAUUUUGAGAACGAGGUUCAACACUCUUCAUUGAACAACUUCUGCAUUUUUCAAAGAAUAUAUGUAUAUCUAGAUGCUUGCAAAAAGAGUUUUUUGCACUAUAGGAGAUUUAUUGGAUUGGAUGACUGUUUUCUCAAGACACCUCAAGGGGGGCAGUUGUUGACUGCGAUAGGGUGGGACCCUAAUGAUCAAAUGCUUCCUAUUGCAUAUGCCGUUGUUGAGGUAGAGACCAAAGACACCUGGAAAUGGUUUCUCCACCUGCUAAUUGAUGAUUUUGGCUAUGAAACUAUUAGAAGAUCAACCUUCAGGUCUGAUCAACAGAAGGUAAACAAUUAUUGUAUUAAUUUAUGUUUAGUAAUUCAUUUAAUUCUGAUAAAUAACAUUGUAAUAACACAAACUUUUACCUCUUUUUUUAUGGAUUACUAUCCGCUUUUGACGAAGUUAUCCCAAGUGUAGACCACAGGUUCUAUGUAAGACAUCUGUACAGUAACUUCAGGAAAAAGUUUCCUGGCUUUCACUUGAAGCAAUUGAUGUGGAGAUGUGCAAAGGCUACACACUAGAAGGAAUGGGAGAGAGAGACGGUAGUCAUCCAAAAGGUCAAUAUUGAAGCUCACAGGCAUCUGAAUGCUAUUGCUCCCAAAUAUUGGAGUAGACCCAGGUUUAACUAUUAUUCUAAAUGUAACACUCUUGUAAAUAACAUGUGUGAAAGCUUUAAUGGUACAAUAGUAGAGUCUAGGAAAAAGCCUAUUGUAACUAUGCUAGAAGAAAUUAGGGUUUAUUUGAUGAGUAGAUGGGUUGUUAAUAGAGAAAGAAUUCAAAAGUUUAGUGGUAUAAUUUUACCUCGAAUUAGGAAGAAAGUAGAGAGAAGGGGCAGGUCAGCUUGUGAGUAGAGACCUGACUAGGACCAAAUUGUAGGUUAGGAUUUUCUCCAAAUAGAUCUUUCGUUGCAAGUAUAGCUCCGAACCAACAAUUGGCCAAUAGUCAAAUUAUUAUUGUAAAGAUUGUCGCAAUUCAAAGCAAAUAUGAACUGAGAGUAUUUAGACUC